UACGAAGGUGGCAAGCGUUGUUCGGAUUUACUGGGCGUACAGGGAGCGUAGGCGGUUGGAUAAGCCCUCCGUGAAAUCUCCAGGCUUAACCUGGAAAGUGCAGAGGGGACUGUUCAGCUAGAGGAUGGGAGAGGAGCGCGGAAUUCCCGGUGUAGCGGUGAAAUGCGUAGAGAUCGGGAGGAAGGCCGGUGGCGAAGGCGGCGCUCUGGAACAUUUC
rnacentral:rRNA from 1 species